rnacentral:lncRNA from 1 species
GGACAAAGAUUUUAGCCAAUAAGAAAAUUAUGUUUAACAUCAUUAAAUAUAUAACCUAUCUGCAUGAAGCCUAAAUAGGAAUACUAAUGUUCCUUCAACAGCUGAAAAAGGGUUAUUAUACUCUGCCAUAUUCAUACUUCAGGUAUGAGGUAGGCUAUAUAUCUAAAUAUAAGCAUAUAUUUUUGAGUUCCAGUAAAACAAUUAAGAUUUAUUUCAACUGUCUGAAUAUAUAAUAAUAGUUUAAGCACUCUGCUAAUAUUACAUCAUUGACUACCAGUUACACUAACAACAUUAAUUAAAGCUGGAAAUAACUUUCACUUCUAGAAAUUGCUACCUGGAUAUUGUUGAGGUAUUUGUUGAAAGGCCUCUGACAGUGACUGCUGUCUCUGUGCCAGGCAUCUGGCUCGGGUUUGGGGAGCUCCCUCCUCCUCCUCCUCCUCCUCCCUCCGUUUGCUUUGCAGCUGAACAUUUACUUUUGGGUGUGCUGCUUUUAAAUGCACAUACAAGUUUACCACAUAAACGUAUUGCUUUCCUGCACACGUCACAGGUAGCAUUUUAUCUGUCUGAAACUGUGAAAUAACUCCAAACAGCACUCCUCUUCCUCUCCGCCAACAUUAAGGGUCGCUUGUCGGUCUCUGCUCUGGAAGACAGCAAAGGAGGGUAGGGGGAGGGGCACAGUGAACUUGAGUGAGCGGGAGAGUGUGAGAGGUGGAGAGGAGCGCUGCAGAUGCUACGCUCACAAACUCUGAAGAAAAACGAGUGAUUUGCUGAACUUAUAGAAGAGAAACUACAAGAAAACUAUCGAUCUCAUCACGCUAGUAUUGAUCUGACACCAGUACUCACCUUGGUAUUGAUACUAUCGAUAUUUGGAUCGAUCUGCCCACCCCUAGUACGAGAGGGAAGUUUUGUCAGUCAGUUGGCACCUUGCAUGGCAGCUUCUUCCAUCAGCUGCGAUGAGCUGGCGACUUGUCCAGGGUGUAUCCUGCCCUCGCCCAGAGAGGCUCCAGCAAACCCCCUCGACCCCAUAAAAGGGAUAAAGCGGUUACAGACAAUGGAUG